UGGGAAACCUGCCCAGAAGCGGGGGAUAACACCUGGAAACAGAUGCUAAUACCGCAUAACAACUUGGACCGCAUGGUCCGAGCUUGAAAGAUGGCUUCGGCUAUCACUUUUGGAUGGUCCCGCGGCGUAUUAGCUAGAUGGUGGGGUAACGGCUCACCAUGGCAAUGAUACGUAGCCGACCUGAGAGGGUAAUCGGCCACAUUGGGACUGAGACACGGCCCAAACUCCUACGGGAGGCAGCAGUAGGGAAUCUUCCACAAUGGACGAAAGUCUGAUGGAGCAACGCCGCGUGAGUGAAGAAGGGUUUCGGCUCGUAAAACUCUGUUGUUAAAGAAGAACAUAUCUGAGAGUAACUGUUCAGGUAUUGACGGUAUUUAACCAGAAAGCCACGGCUAACUACGUGCCAGCAGCCGCGGUAAUACGUAGGUGGCAAGCGUUGUCCGGAUUUAUUGGGCGUAAAGCGAGCGCAGGCGGUUUUUUAAGUCUGAUGUGAAAGCCUUCGGCUCAACCGAAGAAGUGCAUCGGAAACUGGGAAACUUGAGUGCAGAAGAGGACAGUGGAACUCCCAUGUGUAGCGGUGAAAUGCGUAGAUAUAUGGAAGAACACCAGUGGCGAAGGCGGCUGUCUGGUCUGUAACUGACGCUGAGGCUCGAAAGUAUGGGUAGCAAACAGGAUUAGAUACCCUGGUAGUCCAUACCGUAAACGAUGAAUGCUAAGUGUUGGAGGGUUUCCGCCCUUCAGUGCUGCAGCUAACGCAUUAAGCAUUCCGCCUGGGGAGUACGGCCGCAAGGCUGAAACUCAAAGGAAUUGACGGGGGCCCGCACAAGCGGUGGAGCAUGUGGUUUAAUUCGAAGCUACGCGAAGAACCUUACCAGGUCUUGACAUACUAUGCAAAUCUAAGAGAUUAGACGUUCCCUUCGGGGACAUGGAUACAGGUGGUGCAUGGUUGUCGUCAGCUCGUGUCGUGAGAUGUUGGGUUAAGUCCCGCAACGAGCGCAACCCUUAUUAUCAGUUGCCAGCAUUAAGUUGGGCACUCUGGUGAGACUGCCGGUGACAAACCGGAGGAAGGUGGGGAUGACGUCAAAUCAUCAUGCCCCUUAUGACCUGGGCUACACACGUGCUACAAUGGAUGGUACAACGAGUUGCGAACUCGCGAGAGUAAGCUAAUCUCUUAAAGCCAUUCUCAGUUCGGAUUGUAGGCUGCAACUCGCCUACAUGAAGUCGGAAUCGAUAGUAAUCGCGGAUCAGCAUGAAGCGGUGAAUACGUUCCCGGAAGGGGUUCACAGGGCCCCAGAAAGUGGUAACAAGGUACCCGUAGAGUGGCCCAGGCUCCGAAAGUCGUAACAAUGUACGCUCGAAA
rnacentral:rRNA from 1 species